UUAACCUCAUCAUGGCUUAUUCUUUUUCUUCUCUCUGCUGUUUCAACCAAGUUCUUUCCUGGCAUAGGAUCAUGUUUCACUACCCCAAAAUGAGGUCCCAAAGCUUUAGAGACAAUGAAAGCAGUGUGGAUGCAAACAUGAGUGUUUUAAGAGAGAGAAUCGGUAGAAUCAGAAAGAGAGAAAGGCUUGUGGAUAGAUGUGGUUGGAACUAUAAGAAUGAAGUCUAUGGGGAAAAGUUUAAGAGAUCAUCAAAUCAUCAUCAAGCUUUCAUAUCAGAGUUUGCGGAAUUAAUGGCCAUAACCUGUGGUUCUAUA